AUGGGCGAGCUGCCGACCCCGGUGCUGGCCGUGCAGGCCACGCGCUUCGAGGGCGGCGUGGCUGUCGGGCUGACGGUGCACCACGCCAUCGUCGACGGGCGGUCGUUGUGGACGUUCGUUGAGGCCUGGGCGACGGUGUGUCGGGGUGAGAUGCCGGCGGCCACACCGUGCUUCGAUCGAUCGCACGUCAAGCUACCAGGUGGCGAAGGGCUGGCCAGGAGCGUCUUGAGAAAGUUCUUGCCGAAUCUACCAUUGGCGGCACCGCCUGCGUGGCUGGAAGAGGAGCGCACACGAUUCACCCGUCGUACGUUCACCUUGGAUGCGCAGGACAUCCAACGCCUCAAGCAGCACAUCGUCCGUCUUGGCGAGGCCAGCGGCGCAUCGCGCCCGCCUCGCCCCCCGUCCACCUUCGCCGCUGUCGCCGCGCUGGCAUGGACGUGCUUCUUCCGGUGCAAGUCGUUCGCCUCGGACGACGACGACGACAUGCUGCUCUUCUUCUUCACCGACGUCCGCGACCGCCUCGACCCUCCCAUCGAGGCGGGGUACAUGGGCGUGUGCCUCUGGCCGUGUUUCGCGAGCCUCCCCGCACGAGAGCUUCGCGGCGAGUUCGCCCUCGCCCUCGCGGUUGCAGCAUCGGCAGUCCGGGAGGAGGUCCGCAAGAUGAGAGAGGUCCCAGUGGCAACGUGGGGUUUUCUGACUUCCUGGUGGGCGGGCCGCCCUAUGGACCGUCUGAUGAAUGUGUCGGGCUCGCCGCGCUUCAGGGCAUACGAGGGCGCCGACUUCGGAUGGGGGAAGCCGAAGCGGACGGAGUCCAUCAGGAUGAACCAUGACGGUCAGAUCGCGCUGAUGGGUGCCGGAGACGGCCACGGGGUGCAGGUGUCCGUGUCACUGCUGCAACCGGCGCAAAUGGACUUGUUCAAGUCUCACUUCCUCGACCUACUUGGUUUAACCAAAAACAAUUGA
rnacentral:rRNA from 1 species